AGAAAAAGAAAGAAAAAGUAGCAGUAAUACAAAAUAAAUGCAUGUGGGAAGAGACUGGAGAUAGUUUAAGGGGAUAUGCCACCAAGAAGUCACAUGUGCAUACAUACUUUACAGCCAUCACUAAAAGAAUAAAAUUAGACUCUAGCCAGAAUUAAGCAAGGAGAAUAGUCUUGUAAUGAAAACUCAUCUGCAUGCGUUAAAUUCAAGCAUAUCAUGCUCACCAAGGCGUGGUUUCAAUUACGGCUGGUGAUUGGCGGUCUAAAACGGAAUGCGUAAUUUGAAACAAAUGAAUCUCAGAAGCUAGUUGAUUGUACUGUAGCGAUUUGUUCCAUGUCUAGCCCAGUAAUCUUUAAGACUCGAUGGUAUAGAUAAAUCAUGGCCUUCUGAUGCCAACCUACUGAGAAGUCUUGUAAAAACACGACCGCUCAUUUUCCGCCCUCCAAUGCGAGCAUGGUGCUUGUUUAGAAGCUGUGGUAGCAGAAUGGUUAAAAUUGGAGAAAAAUAUGGAACCCGUUCUUGCUCUUGCUCGUAAGGUGAUGGUGAUGAUGGAAAAUAAUUGAUAAAGAUGCUUGAAGAUUGAUGAUAGAUUGAGGUUACGGUUCAAGAAUGGAGAGGAAGAUUGGUGAGCUCAUGAAUUGUUCAAGGUUGAAGGUUGGUUGAAUAAUGGUGAAGAAUUUGUGACUUUGUGAUUAUGGAGGUUGAAGAAAUUUUAGAAUGAAGGAUGAAGUGGUGAAGAUGAUGAAAUUGGGAUAUGAUAAAAUUUGGUGAAUUGAGAUUAUGGAAGAACGAAGAUUGAAAGAAUUUUGGUUUUGGAGGAUGUGAAGUUGUGGAUUUUUUUUGAGUUUGUAAUGUGUGAUUAGCCUUUUCAUGGUGAGAAUAAUGAAGUUUAGAUAGAAAAAAAAUGGAGGGAAAAUUAGUUAUGGAAGAUGAUUCAAAGCUAUUGUAGUGAUCCUUGUGAUGAUGGUUUUAAUAGUGGCUAGGAUUGAAUUGUGUUAGUUUGGAUGGAUUAAGGAAGUUAUGGAUAGUUAAAAUAGUUAGAAAUAAAUGUAAAUUUUGUGUUUGUUUAAAAUGAAAAUGAAUUUCACUUGGUUUA